rnacentral:rRNA from 1 species
UACAGAGGUCUCAAGCGUUGUUCGGAUUCAUUGGGCGUAAAGGGUGCGUAGGCGGCGCGGUAAGUCGGGUGUGAAAUCUCGGGGCUUAACUCCGAAACUGCAUUCGAUACUGCCGUGCUUGAGGACUGGAGAGGAGACUGGAAUUUAUGGUGUAGCGGUGAAAUGCGUAGAUAUCGUAAGGAAGACCAGUGGCGAAGGCGGGUCUCUGGACAGUUCCUGACGCUGAGGCACGAAGGCCAGGGGAGCAAACGGG